GCUUCUAUCCCAGUGGAAUAAAUGCUUAAGUUAGGAGUGCAGCAGGCUGAAGACAUUGCCAAGAGGGCGGGCCCUACCCGUGACGUGCGCACGCCAGUCCAAGGCCGGAGACCAAUGGUGGUGCAGACUGGAUGGCCCGGCCUCGCCCCUAAGCUCAAGCCCGCCCCGAGGCCCCGCCCCCUCCGGGCUCCGCGGGGCGUACGGUCUCCGGGGGUUGGAACCGGCCAGCUCCGCUGGGUUCCCGCCCCCGCGGGAGCGUAGCAGCCUGAUGCUCAGACACCAGGGUCGAGCCCCUAGACGGUGGAGGGAGAUUCAAAAGACUCAAUUGACUGUGGGAACCCGAGAAGAGGUUGGCAACCUUCUUUCCCCUCAACGGACGGUCUGAGAUGUCGAAAAAGGCCCUUACUGAAAUAAAAUAAGUAUCAAGUUGACCUGCCCCUUUGCUGCUGCUCCUUUCCGAGGAUCGGCGGCUCCGCGUCCCGCCUGCACGUCUGGGGCUGCACACUUCCUCCUGCAGGCCGCCUCCGCUACCCUCUGUUUCCUUGCCCUGUUUUGUGUCUUUUUAUGGCGCUCCUGCGUCUGAAAUGCUUUUUUGGGGAGUUUCGUACCUGGAUUACUCGUUUCUUCCCUACUUUCCCAGCAACCUAGAGAGUGGGGACCAAGUCAUCCCCAAUCCAGCCCCUAGCAGGGCUCCAGUCACUGCCUCACAGGCUUAACCCGAUGACUUCUAGCAUCAGGGAAAUCCUCCCGGGCCGGGUCCCAGCGUUCCCACCGAGCGUCUCACCGGGAACCCGGACAGGUCUCUCCUCGCAGACGGUCUGGGCUACAGGGAACCAAUGUGCGCUUUCUGGGGGAAGUCCCUGGAACCCGAUUUAGCAAUUUCGGGACGCAGUGGACCAGAGCAAAGGGCCCGUGAGUGCUAGGACUUGCAGCUGUAGUACGAGAACGCAAAGGAGACUCGGAAGGGGCCCGGAACUGCUGCGGUUGAUGGGCGCUCGACCGCUUCUCUGCGCUCAUCAGGACAGUUCUCCCAGCCCCAGGAGAGGGUGGUGAGCGGCCAGAAGCACAGAACGCGCCCCGCUGCCCUCGUCUCGGCUCCUCGGGUAUCGCUGUCGAACCCUCCGGGCGUGCUGGCACCUCUGGGCCGUGGUCUGUCCCCGGAUGCCUAGGUCCUGAGCGCAGCCACCUGAGCGUCUACCGGUGACAGAAGCUCAGGCAGUUACCCGGGGACCAAACCCCAAUACAACUGAAAGCAUCCUCCCCGGAGGUGUGAAGGGGACCCUGAUUCUCAGUGAAAAGCCUCCCUUUCUUCCUCCCAGGCCGCCUCUCCUCUGGUUCCUCCCAGGGCAGGGCCGGGUUUUCCUCCGGAGUCUGGGUCCCAGCGGGAGUGCUGCUGCGGGAGGUGGUGGGGCCUUACAGCUCGGGAAUCGGCUCUUGGUGAACCAACCGCGCCACCUGCCGGCCAGACUCUGACCUGCGCUGCCCAGGAGGAAGGGUGAGCGGACAAAGACCGAAACCAACUGCCCGCCCCUCUGGGAGGUGGGAAGCGUCGGUAGACUUUGGUAGCCACCUGCCCACGUUCAGCCCACUCAGGCCACUGCUAGCGGUGUGGUGGCUGGAGGCAAUCGAGAAGUCCUGGGACUCCUAUCGCUCCCCGCCAUCCAGAUUACGAAAGAUGGACUUGGAAAACGUUUCAAGGAGAAACAGUUGGCAUCCGAGGGGCUGCUGGAGUAGCCAGCUGCUCUCCCUAAAAUCGAAAGUCCGAGCGAUGAAGGGCCGUGUUGAGGAGGGAGUAGACCCGGCGUCACUGGCCGCAGUUUUAGGGCACUGGCCUCGACAGCAGAUCCUAUUUCCCUCAGUGGCUCAGACCUGCGCAGACCUCGACUGACGACACGGACAACUUUGACUUUCAAAGACCAGCGCGCUUGGCCGUACGCGGGGCAGUCGGGGCCUGGAGGGACAGCUUGUGCGGCUCUGGCAUUUUGGCUCCUUGGGCUCAAAGCUGCCCAAUAAUCAGGUGAACCAAGAAGCUGGAUUGCUGACUGGGAAAAUCUGCGCUCCAACUUCCCUCUGUAAAGCAUUUCUGGGCUGCAGAUUGGAAAUGAACUGCUGUUCAUUGUGGCUACCUGGAGGAGAAUUCUUCUGUCCUCUGUGAUUACUUACAGGGGAAAGACUUCUAACCUGACAAACAGGAUUCCUUCUAAAAAAUAAGAUAAAAAUGGAAACACCAUCAUCAAUGCAAAACCCUCUCUGCACCCCAUAAUUGGAAAACACCCUGGAAUUUUCAAACUUCUAAGUGUGAACAAUCAGUCUGUAGAGCCAUAAGCACAGAACCCAACACAAAACCUACCUAACAACACCUACUUUUAAAAUAAAGUUGCUUGGCUCUUCUGAGUAAAACAAGCCUCUCAGAACUGUGAGAAUGUAGGGGUGCUUUGAAUCCACUAAGGGGAAUCUCAAAUGAAUCUGCUAAUAAGCUUAAUAUAAAGGAUUAAUUAAA